ACGGGUUAACGUCCCAUAACGAGCGACCAACCCCUUACCUUUAGUUGCCAUCGAAGGUAAUGCGUGGGACUACUAAAGGAACUGCCUACGCAAGUAGUGAGGAAGGCGGGAUGACGUCAAAUCAGCACGGCCCUUACGUCCAGGGCUACACACGUGCUACAAUGGCCGAUACAGAGGGCAGCUACCUGGUGACAGGAUGCAAAUCUCCAAAGUCGGUCUCAGUUCGGAUCGGAGUCUGCAACCCGACUCCGUGAAGUUGGAUUCGCUAGUAAUCGCGCAUCAGCCAUGGCGCGGUGAAUACGUUCCCGGGCCUU
rnacentral:rRNA from 1 species